GGUUACCGCGUUACUUCCGUACCCAUAGCAACCACAAGGCCAGGUCCUGCCGCGCUCCUCCUGCAGAGGGAGCAAGCAUGCACUGCAGAAAGAGAUAGCGACUGCUCAGGAAGGAAAGGCCAGAAUAACUCAGCAGGACUUGAAGGCUUUCUGCUGGAGGAGGUUUAACUAUAAUAUUAUAACCAGAUGGGUAAGAAAAGGCAAUGACGGUCAUUUGGCUCCAACUCUGGGACUUGAAAAUAAAGCAAACCUGAGUUUGAGACUUGGUCCUGCUGCAACUCACCUGCUCUGUACUUGGAUAACAUUGGUGUGCAGAGGUGGAGGAAGACAAGUGAGAAACAUAAUACAAUAAUCCAAGCAAGAUAAUCACUAAGGAUUUGUAUUAAGGACAUGAUUACCAUAUCAAGAAAAGGAUGACUGUUAUAACAAGAUCCAACAUAACAAUAGAUUAAAUAAAUGUUGACUUCUCAAGUGAUUUUGAUAUAGUGGGAUUAAGAGAUACCAUCCAGGAUUCUAGUUUUUAUUUGUUGCUCUUAUCCUUUUUCUUUCUUUUUGUCUUCCAUUCUUUAUACUUUUAAUUAAACAUUUUACAUUAUUC